rnacentral:rRNA from 1 species
GCGGACGGGUGAGUAACGCGUGAGAAUCUGCCCUCAGGAGGGGGAUAACGGUUGGAAACGACCGCUAAUACCCCAUAUGCCUACUGGUGAAAUGAAUUUCGCCUGAGGAUGAGCUCGCGUCUGAUUAGCUUGUUGGUGAGGUAAUGGCUCACCAAGGCUUCGAUCAGUAGCUGGUCUGAGAGGAUGAUCAGCCACACUGGGACUGAGACACGGCCCAGACUCCUACGGGAGGCAGCAGUGGGGAAUUUUCCGCAAUGGGCGAAAGCCUGACGGAGCAACGCCGCGUGAGGGACGAAGGCCUCUGGGCUGUAAACCUCUUUUCUCAAGGAAGAAGAUAUGACGGUACUUGAGGAAUAAGCCACGGCUAAUUCCGUGCCAGCAGCCGCGGUAAUACGGGAGUGGCAAGCGUUAUCCGGAAUUAUUGGGCGUAAAGUGUCCGCAGGCGGCUUUUCAAGUCUGCUGCUUAAACGUGGAGCUUAACUCCAUCAUGGCAGUGGAAACUGAAA